rnacentral:tRNA from 1 species
UCCCUGGUGGUCCAGUGGUUAGGACUCUGCACUUUGCACUGCAGAGGUUGUGAGUUCAAUCCUUGGUUUGGGAA